rnacentral:rRNA from 1 species
UGGGGAAUAUUGCACAAUGGGCGAAAGCCUGAUGCAGCAACGCCGCGUGAGUGAUGAAGGUCUUCGGAUUGUAAAGCUCUGUCUUUUGGGACGAUAAUGACGGUACCAAAGGAGGAAGCCACGGCUAACUACGUGCCAGCAGCCGCGGUAAUACGUAGGUGGCGAGCGUUGUCCGGAUUUACUGGGCGUAAAGGGUGCGUAGGCGGAUGUUUAAGUGAGAUGUGAAAUACCCGGGCUUAACUUGGG